GUUUAGGUAGGUAUUCCUCAUGUCUAAACACAUGCACCAAGUUGUAUAGGAAACAAGAUAAACCAGACAUUGAUUAAUUUGCAGCUUCAUCUUCAAUUCACAACCACCAUGUGUCAUGGCAUAGGAUGCCAUUCCUCCCUAACCAACCUUCAUUGCCGUCUCUCUCUACAGUAGUAGCCUUCAUUGCUGUCUCUCUCUAAAUUAGUUUAUUUUAACCUUUCAUUGGCAGACAGACCAUCAUGGUCUAUGCCCUUAUGGGUUUUCAAUAGACAUUUACCUUUUACCCCCUCUUGCUGUGUGAUAUUAUUAUCUGUAAUAUUUCUC
rnacentral:lncRNA from 1 species